UGGCCUGACAUAAUAAGACCAGCAACCCUCUGUGCUAUAAAUUCAAACUAGUCAUCCUCCAGUCUGAAAGAAGAAUGAAAAUGAUGAUGCUCAGACUGGGGCUCAGAAGAAAUAGUUGAUGUGCCACCAACAGACUUGGAAGGACCAGCCUCAUGAUCUGAUACAAAUUGGAUAUCUGGUGAAGCUCUGCACUCACGAGGUGGAGAAGAAGGUCUCUCCCCCUC
rnacentral:lncRNA from 1 species